GACGAACGCUGGCGGCGUGCCUAAUACAUGCAAGUAGAACGCACAGUUUAUACCGUAGCUUGCUACACCAUAGACUGUGAGUUGCGAACGGGUGAGUAACGCGUAGGUAACCUGCCUGGUAGCGGGGGAUAACUAUUGGAAACGAUAGCUAAUACCGCAUAAUAUUAAUUAUUGCAUGAUAAUUGAUUGAAAGAUGCAACUGCAUCACUACCAGAUGGACCUGCGUUGUAUUAGCUAGUAGGUGAGGUAACGGCUCACCUAGGCGACGAUACAUAGCCGACCUGAGAGGGUGAUCGGCCACACUGGGACUGAGACACGGCCCAGACUCCUACGGGAGGCAGCAGUAGGGAAUCUUCGGCAAUGGACGAAAGUCUGACCGAGCAACGCCGCGUGAGUGAAGAAGGUUUUCGGAUCGUAAAGCUCUGUUGUAAGAGAAGAACGGGUGUGAGAGGGAAAGUUCACA
rnacentral:rRNA from 1 species